rnacentral:rRNA from 1 species
GACGAACGCUGGCGGCGUGCUUAACACAUGCAAGUCGAACGGAAAGGCCCUGCUUUUGUGGGGUGCUCGAGUGGCGAACGGGUGAGUAACACGUGAGUAACCUGCCCUUGACUUUGGGAUAACUUCAGGAAACUGGGGCUAAUACCGGAUAGGAGCUCCUGCUGCAUGGUGGGGGUUGGAAAGUUUCGGCGGUUGGGGAUGGACUCGCGGCUUAUCAGCUUGUUGGUGGGGUAGUGGCUUACCAAGGCUUUGACGGGUAGCCGGCCUGAGAGGGUGACCGGCCACAAUGGGACUGAGAUACGGCCCAGACUCCUACGGGAGGCAGCAGGGGGGAAUAUUGCACAAUGGGCGGAAGCCUGAUGCAGCAACGCCGCGUGCGGGAUGACGGCCUUCGGGUUGUAAACCGCUUUCGCCUGUGACGAAGCGUGAGUGACGGUAAUGGGUAAAGAAGCACCGGCUAACUACGUG